rnacentral:rRNA from 1 species
GACGAACGCUGGCGGCGUGCCUAAUACAUGCAAGUUGAGCGCUGAAGGUUGGUACUUGUACCAACUGGAUGAGCAGCGAACGGGUGAGUAACGCGUGGGGAAUCUGCCUUUGAGCGGGGGACAACAUUUGGAAACGAAUGCUAAUACCGCAUAAAAACUUUAAACACAAGUUUUAAGUUUGAAAGAUGCAAUUGCAUCACUCAAAGAUGAUCCCGCGUUGUAUUAGCUAGUUGGUGAGGUAAAGGCUCACCAAGGCGAUGAUACAUAGCCGACCUGAGAGGGUGAUCGGCCACAUUGGGACUGAGACACGGCCCAAACUCCUACGGGAGGCAGCAGUAGGGAAUCUUCGGCAAUAGACGGAAGUCUGACCGAGCAACGCCGCGUGAGUGAAGAAGGUUUUCGGAUCGUAAAACUCUGUUGGUAGAGAAGAACGUUGGUGAGAGUGGAAAGCUCAUCAAGUGACGGUAACUACCCAGAAAGGGACGGCUAACUACGUG